rnacentral:rRNA from 1 species
AGUGAACGCUGGCGGUAGGCCUAACACAUGCAAGUCGAACGGCAGCACAGAGGAGCUUGCUCUCUGGGUGGCGAGUGGCGGACGGGUGAGGAAUACAUCGGAAUCUACUUUUUCGUGGGGGAUAACGUAGGGAAACUUACGCUAAUACCGCAUACGACCUACGGGUGAAAGCAGGGGACCUUCGGGCCUUGCGCGAUUGAAUGAGCCGAUGUCGGAUAGCUAGUUGGCGGGGUAAAGGCCCACCAAGGCGACGAUCCGUAGCUGGUCUGAGAGGAUGAUCAGCCACACUGGAACUGAGACACGGUCCAGACUCCUACGGGAGGCAGCAGUGGGGAAUAUUGGACAAUGGGCGCAAGCCUGAUCCAGCCAUACCGCGUGGGUGAAGAAGGCUUUCGGGUUGUAAAGCCCUUUUGUUGGGAAAGAAAUCCAGCUGGCUAAUACCCGGUUGGGAUGACGGUACCCAAAGAAUAAGCACCGGCUAACUUCGUGCCAGCCGCCGCAGUAA